CUGUGGUUGAAUCGAUUCAGUCCGACUCUUCUCAGAGUGAACACUUGUGUAAUGGAUCUUCAUUCAGUUAUUCUGCUCUGUGUCUCAGCUGCUGCUGUCUUUGGAAACGUCAUCAAACCAGACCAACCAGAUGUUUUUGUUGAGGAGGGUUCAAGUGUUACAUUAUCCUGUACUUUUUCUGACUCUGGACGUACAGAUUAUCUCCACUGGUACCGUCAGUAUGGAAGAUCAAAACCUGAAUUUCUUGUACUCACCUACAGCACUGCAAAAGAAGCUAAGGUGUCUGAUGUAGAUCCAAGAUUCACUGUUAAUGUGACAAAAAGGGAAAAUGUGGAUCUGGAGAUCUCCUCUGCUGCUGUAUCAGACUCUGCUCUGUACUACUGUGCUCUGGCGCCCACAGUGACAGGAAACGCAUCAGCUCUCUACAAAAACCUGUUACAGUGA